rnacentral:lncRNA from 11 species
GGUUAUGCGCAGAGGCGGUUCAACCACCAGGCCAACUAGGCAGUUUCCUGUGGCACCAUUUUGUUGGGGGCACCAUCAAGGCAGCUCCUGUCUCCUGCGGCCUGCCUCUGCAAGAGGAUCCUAGCUGAAAUCUCUACAAUGGAAAAAGUCAUUGGAAAAUCCAGGGAUGAAAAUCAAUGAAGUGUGCAAAAAGAGUGCUAAAUACAAGUAGCAAUA